UACGAAGGGGGCUAGCGUUGUUCGGAUUUACUGGGCGUAAAGCGCACGUAGGCGGAUCGUUAAGUCAGGGGUGAAAUCCUGGGGCUCAACCCCAGAACUGCCUUUGAUACUGGCGAUCUCGAGUCCGGAAGAGGUGAGUGGAACUGCGAGUGUAGAGGUGAAAUUCGUAGAUAUUCGCAAGAACACCAGUGGCGAAGGCGGCUCACUGGCCCGGUACUGACGCUGAGGUGCGAAAGCGUGGGGAGCAAACAGG
rnacentral:rRNA from 1 species